rnacentral:rRNA from 1 species
UGGGGAAUAUUGGACAAUGGGGGGAACCCUGAUCCAGCCAUGCCGCGUGUGUGAAGAAGGCCUUAUGGUUGUAAAGCACUUUAAGCGAGGAGGAGGGUACUGGUAUUAAUACUACCAGGUACUGGACGUUACUCGCAGAAUAAGCACCGGCUAACUCUGUGCCAGCAGCCGCGGUAAUACAGAGGGUGCGAGCGUUAAUCGGAUUUACUGGGCGUAAAGCGUGCGUAGGCGGCUAAUUGAGUCGGAUGUGAAAUCCCCGAGCUUAACUUGGGAAUUGCAUUCGAUACUGGUUAGCUAGAGUGUGGGGGAGGAUGGUAGAAUUCCAGGUGUAGCGGUGAAAUGCGUAGAGAUCUGGAGGAAUACCGAUGGCGGAGGCAGCCAUCUGGCCUAACACUGACGCUGAGGUACGAAAGCAUGGGGAGCAAACAGG